rnacentral:rRNA from 1 species
GUGUCAGCAGCCGCGGUAAUACGUAGGCAGCGAGCGUUGUUCGGAGUUACUGGGCGUAAAGGGUGUGUAGGCGGCCCCCUAAGUUUGGUGUGAAAUCUCCCGGCUCAACCGGGAGGGUGCGCCGAAAACUGGAGGGCUAGAGUGCGGGAUGGGAGAGUGGAAUUCCUGGUGUAGCGGUGAAAUGCGUAGAUAUCAGGAGGAACACCGGUGGUGCAGACGGCUCUCUGGACCGUAACUGACGCUGAGACACGAAAGCGUGGGUAGCAAACAGGAUUAGAUACCCGAGUAGUCC